rnacentral:lncRNA from 1 species
GUCACGGACUUGGAGUUUUCCCACACAUCCGUGCGGCCUUAGGCAGUUUCUUGGCUUAAAAAUGCCUAAGUCAGCCUAACUUCCACCAAUAAUGGAUUCAACUGUAAAAACGCCUAAGUCAGCUCAACUCGCAACAAUAAAGGAUUCAACAGAAUUCCCUUAAAGUUUCCAUGAAGAACAGCGGAAGAACGAAUUAAGAACGAUCUUUGAAAGAUGAACAAAAGCAAGAACGCUUGAGAGAAAAGUUUGAGUAAAUGCUCUCAAUUCUUAUUCACAAAGAAUAAUGAAACAAUU